GAUGAACGCUGGCGGCGUGCCUAAUACAUGCAAGUCGAGCGAACGGACGAGAAGCUUGCUCCUCUGAUGUUAGCGGCGGACGGGUGAGUAACACGUGGAUAACCUACCUAUAAUACUGGGAUAACUUCGGGAAACCGGAGCUAAUACCGGAUGAUAUUUUGAACCGCAUGGUUCAAAAGUGAAAGACGGUCUUGCUGUCACUUAUAGCUGGAUCCGCGCUGCAUUAGCUAGUUGGUAAGGUAACGGCUUACCAAGGCAACGAUGCAUAGCCGACCUGAGAGGGUGAUCGGCCACACUGGAACUGAGACACGGUCCAGACUCCUACGGGAGGCAGCAGUAGGGAAUAUUCCGCAAUGGGCGAAAGCCUGACGGAGCAACGCCGCGUGAGUGAUGAAGGUCUUCGGAUCGUAAAACUCUGUUAUUAGGGAAGAACAUAUGUGUAAGUAACUGUGCACAUCUUGACGGUACCUAAUCAGAAAGCCACGGCUAACUACGUG
rnacentral:rRNA from 1 species